UACGAACUGUGCGACCGUUAUUCGGAAUCACUGGGCUUACAGGGUGCGUAGGCGGCUUGUUAAGUAGGGUGUGAAAGCCCCCGGCUCAACCGGGGAAUUGCGCCCUAAACUGGCGAGCUGGAGUGAGAUAGGGGUGUGUGGAACUUCCGGUGGAGCGGUGAAAUGUGUUGAUAUCGGAAGGAACGCCGGUGGCGAAAGCGACACACUGGAUCUUGUCUGACGCUGAGGCACGAAAGCCAGGGGAGCGAACGGG
rnacentral:rRNA from 1 species